AUGCUAGUCAUAAUUCGUUUCCACUGAACCGUGAUGGGAACUCCAAACUAUCUCCAAUUUUGAUUCAAGCUAGAGACACAGGUCUGUGCCCAGUGGGUAGUCCUUAGUGCUAUUGCUCUUCUGCACAUGGCAUUGGUGAUUAAAUGCUGAGGGACUCACACCUCUGUCACCUGGCUCAGGCACUAGUGUCCUGGGGUGUUAUUUUAACUUGACCCAGUUAUUAAAGCAUAGGAACCCCAGUCAUUAAAUAAAGCCAUGUAGCAGUGAGGGUUUGUGUUCUCUGGGCAAGGAUGGGGUUUGGUUGUUUAGGUAGCUGGAAGAUGUUGACGUGGGGUUAGGGACAUGGCUUUGGCUAUUUGGCUUAGGGAAACAGAAGGAGACCUCCAGCAGCAGGAAAUGAAACUCUUCCUCUCCUGUUCGUCAAUCAGGAGCAAAGAUCUGAGAGAGAAACUACCUCCAGGUGGGAGGUAGUAGGUAGGCCUGAAGGUUUUCGGUAAGUAAUGUCCUGUUAGAGAGAUGACAGUCUGAUCUGGUGUGAAUUUCCUUGUGGAUGUCAGAUGUGCACAGACUUGUUUGGCCGUGGUCAGGGAGAAACACAGCUUGAUGCCACUGCUGCUGCUGCUGGAGGCGACUCCUGCAGGGGGCCCAGACUCAGCACUAGAGAAAGGCAGCUUCUACAUGAGGGUGGAAAAUUGCCUCAGGCUUAUUCUUUAACAGCAUGUAAUAUUUGGGGUCUUGGGAAAGUCCCGUGUAUCUUACCUCACUUGUCUCUUUGAGGUCAGAUAACACGCAUGUAGUGUAUCACACUAUGUACCAAGACCUCACCACACUAGUGUGCUAUUUCCUGCUGCUACUAGAACAUAUAACUGCAAACUUAGGGCCUUAAGACAGCACCCAUUUAUUAUCUCACAGUUCUGCAGGUCAGAAGUCCAGUAGGCUCGGCUGGUUUCUUUCCUUCUGGUCUCACAAGGCCAAAAUCAAGGUGUCAACUGGGCUCCUUUGCCUUCUGGAGGCUGGAGGGGAGAAGCCAUUUCCAGAAUCUUUCAGGUGGUUGGCAGAAUUCAGUAUCUAUAGGACAGAAGUACACAUUUCCUUGCUGGCUGACACAUAGGGGGUCUCCUUAGCAUCUAGAGGCUCUUUUGGGUCAUUGUGCACAGUUGCAUGUAGUCUCAAAACAUGUCAGUACUAGCAAGAGUACACAAAAUCCUUUUGUUGUAUUCCUUCUGCCUCUCCUUCUUCUGCCACCUUUCUAUGACUGACUCUUCUGCCUUCCUCGUCUACUUUUAAGUGCUCAAGUGAUUAGACUGGGCCCCUCAGUAAUCCAGGAUAAUCUCCCUAUUUUAAGAUCUGUAACCUUAAUCACACCUGAAAAGUCUCUUUUGCUAUGUAAAGUAACAUAUUCGCAUAUUCCCAGGGACUAGGGCUUGAAAACCUUUGGGAGGCAUUAUUCCUUUCAUAUUUAUGUCCCUCAAUCCUCAUAACAGCCCAGUAAGGGAAGUGUUAUGCAUGUGAAGAAAGUGAGGUUCAGAGAGGCUUAUGUCACAAGUAAUAGAUGGUAGAGCUGGAGUUUGAACCUUGCUUCAGACCUCACAUGCCUUCCUCUGCUAGAGAGAAGGACUAGUGGGAGCAAAGCAAUUGUAUCACCUGUCACUCACCGCAGUUCCCACUAUUGUUUCCCUAGUGCUGCUUCUCAACUUAUCAAGGUCAUCACCACUGUGUCCACCCAAUUUCCGAUUCUCCUCCUAGGUCCCCACUAUGGGUUCCACUGGACAUCAGGAAAAAGCAGGUCCCUUGGUCUGUCUGGAGGUGCAAGAGAAAGAAGUGUUUCCCAGAACGACAAAGAAGGCAUUGAAAGAGGGCUGCUAGGCAGGAGCUUUGACCUUUGGUAGAAGAACACAGCCACUAGCAGCCUGGCUCGGAGGAAGGUGCCAAAAGGGACAAGUUUUCCAGAAGAAAAAGAAUGAAUGCUAGAGCACAUGGGUAUCCUUUGAAAUGAGCUGCAGAGGAGCUGUGUGCAUUUCAGGCUCACAGUCUUGUCACCAGUUUCAGAAGAAUUCUGCACCUGCAGCAGCCAGGAAUAUCUGCUGAGGAACCUUUGUUCUCCACCUAAACCAGGACUCUCCAGGCCCCAUGAACCCCAAUUGUAGGAGGAAAAGGAAAAGUAAUCAAAAUGCUGUGCUUAAAGGGAUGGUUCUCCAAGUGUGGUACCUGGAUCAGCAGCAUCCUCAGCCCCUGGAAACUUGCUGAAAUGCACUCUUGGACCUUUCCCCAGAACCUCUGGAGUGGUGCCUAGCAAUCUGUGUUUCAGGGAGUCUUCCAGGAGAUUCUGGUGCACAGGAAAGUUUGGGAGCCACCAGCUUAGGGUUUGAUCUCAGAAGUCCGGUGGCCUGCCUAGGAGUUCAUCCAUCUUGGUAAAAAUAUCAUCAACUCUUCUGUCCCCUUUUAAUUGGUGGGGAAAGACCUGCCUGUAGUACAGUGGAGAAUCCUUGGGAUCCUGGUUAUCUCCUGGCCCUCUGGGCAUUUAGUAUUAACUGUAAGUCACAAGUGCUAGCCGGGCUGUGGCAGCAUCCAGGAAACAGAAUCAUGGCAGCUACACGAGAAGCCUCCCACAUGGAUGCAGGGUUUCGCUGACGUCUCAUGGUGAAGGACAACAUAUCUAACCUUGUUCUGAGCGAAACGGACAUGUGCUUCCAAGUGGCUUGAGAAUCUUUUUAGUUCUAUAUUUAGUCAGUUUACAAGGAGUUUGAGAUGGAUUUUACUGUUUACCAAGGCCUUCCUUGUGUGUCCAUCAUAGUACUUAGGACUGGAAAUCUGUGCUAAUCUCUUGUGAGUUUCCACUUGCAGGAUGCCACUUUGAUAAAAUGUAGAAAUCUUCCAGAUGGCUAGAGAACUGUGCUUCUUUUCUAGAGAAUGAAGUAAAGGAAACUGGGGUAGCAUCCCAGGAGGAAUGACAGAGCAGUACCCACUUCACCAGAUGACAAAUUCAGAGGCACCUAUGGGGCAGCGUGUAAAGUAGGGGAGUCUCUAAUUCAAAAGAAAAUGAUGUGUUCAUGUUCAACAGCUAUGUGGGCUAGACCACCCAGAACCGUUUCCGGCAAAUGAAGGCAAAGGGCUGGUCUUAACCUGCUCUGUCCCUGAGAGGUUGUGCAAGGGGUUUGUCUGAGCUGUCCUUCCUCUGGAGACAGAGGAAGGGCUCUUGAUGGACCAGUCAGUCAGAUUUACUAACGGAUACAUUCCUCUUCUUCAGUUGUUCAGAUGAUUCCUUUAAUUUUGUCUGGCAGUACCAGAUUGCCUGAGAAAGUCCGCUGGUUUCCCUGCAUAGCACAAGCUCUUGUGAACAGGAAGUUUACUCUUUGCCCCCUUAUUUAUUUAUUUAUUUAUUUUGGUGAGGAGGUUGCAUUUCUCAGUCUGUUCCUCCUCUCCACUCUCAGAACCCUCACUGCGUUUUGGAGCAUGGUCAGUGUGGCCCCAGAAAGCCACUGGAAUGUGCUGGUGAUUUGUGCUCCACAGUCACCCCCUUUUCCCCAUCUUCUUUGGGGGGCUGAGCCUAUGCCUAUACAGCCUUGUUUUCCUCCCCGAGAAGUGGAUUUAUGCCAGUGGGACUGGAAGCUAGAUGAAAAGCUAUCAAAGCACCAAGGGAAGAAUCAAUAGUAAUAUAUGUACGUGUGUACAUGUAUCACAAGUGACAGACUCAUUUCCAUGCAAGUUAAAAGAUUCUUGGUGCCUCUCAUUGAUGCCUGCGUAUCUGUGCACACACAUGCUCUGAUGGGGAUACGCAUGGCCUCACCUUGUAGAGGCUAAGUGGACAGCUGCCUGUGGGCUGUGAUUUGAUUUUGCUCUAGGGCCCUCUUCAUGACCACCCCAGCUGGCCCAGGCCUUUUGCCUGCUGGGAAUUCCCACAUCACAGGCAUCUUUGGAUUCAGACACUGAAAGUUGUUUAAAUGCAAAUUAUUUUCUAGGUGGUAGAGACAUUAUUAUUCAUUAAUAUUUGGGCUUUAAUGAGUUUAUCAGCUUAGAAGAGAACAAGCCAGAGUCUUUUGGUAAUAGAAGCCAGAGAGAUAGGUUUUAAUAACAAUAUGUGGAAAAGAGAGGUGUGAAAUACUGUAGAAACUAUUGCCAUAGACUCAAGGAAUAGCAGGAGGACACUAAUUACACGGUAGAGAAUGAGAUGGAAAAAGAAAAGUGAGGAAGUGGGGAAUAAGGUGGCUGCCUGAGUCCACAGGUCAUUUCUGCCAGGAGCUCUUAGAUUUUCUUUCCUGGGCAGGGGUGUUUGUAGAAAGCCUUGCUGGGACACUGGUACAUUUCACAUUUGCCAUAGUAUCACUAUUUCCAAGGAGUAUCUAGUUAUUUAAAAAUAUGUAUUGAACACCUAAGUUCAUGCCUAGGCACUUGGGUGUAUCUGGAUGACAGUCCAGACAGGACCCAGCCAUUAAGGAGCUUGUAUUUUAGUGAGGAGGUGGAGGAGACAACAGAUACAAUACAUAAGGCAAGUGUGGUACAUUAACUGGUGAGAAAGGCUCUGGAGAAGAAUAAAGUGAUGAGAGCGGCUGAUGGGGAGGGAGUGCCCUUUAAAAUAAGGUGGUCAGAAAAGGAUCACUAGAAGGUGACAUUUGAAUAAAAGUGAGUAAGGAGUAAGGAAGCCCCACAGAUGUCCAUCAAGAGCUCAUUUCCACUGGAGGAAACAGUAAAUGCAGGUCCUGCAACAGGGGCCUGCCUGGCUUAGAGCAUGGAGUGGGAAAGGUAGGGGGGUCUGGGGGUGAGAGGAUGGAUGGUGUGGUCACAUGAGAGUGAGCACAGGGGACAACAGUAGGGCAUAAGGUCAGAAGAUCAUGGCAGGGUGGGGGCAGUUCACAUAGGGCCUUAUAAGACUUAACUUUUAUUUUGAGUGAGAGUUUUGAAGGGCAGUAAUAGUAUCCCACCUUCAAUUCAAGAGGCUAUCUAGGUUCGCCUGUCCUGGGGUUGUCCAGAGAUGGUAGAUGUCCUUAGCAGAUCAUGAGAUCUCUGUUGUGAAUCCUUGAUGGUGGAUGCUGUUCUAGCACAAAGUGAACUAAUGAGGGUGGAUGUGUUUCAAUAAAACUUUAUUUGCAAAA